rnacentral:rRNA from 1 species
GCGGAGGAAAAGAAACCAACAGGGAUUGCCCUAGUAACGGCGAGUGAAGCGGCAACAGCUCAAAUUUGAAAUCUGGCGCUUGCGUCCGAGUUGUAAUUUGCAGAGGAUGCUUCCUGCGCGGUGCCUUCCGAGUUCCCUGGAACGGGACGCCAUAGAGGGUGAGAGCCCCGUACGGUCGGCAACCAAGCUUUGUGUAGCACCUUCGACGAGUCGAGUAGUUUGGGAAUGCUGCUCUAAAUGGGAGGUAAACUCCUUCUAAAGCUAAAUAUUGGCCAGAGACCGAUAGCGCACAAGUAGAGUGAUCGAAAGAUGAAAAGCACUUUGAAAAGAGAGUCAAACAGCACGUGAAAUUGUUGAAAGGGAAGCGCUUGUGACCAGACUUGGGCCUGGUAGUUCAGCCGUCCUUCUGGGCGGUGCACUCUGCCGGUUCAGGCCAGCAUCAGUUGCCGGUCGGGGAGAAAGACCGCGGGAAUGUGGCUCUUCGGAGUGUUAUAGCCCGCUGUCAUGUCCUUCCGGCGACUGAGGUUAGC